rnacentral:rRNA from 1 species
UACGAAGGGUCCAAGCGUUAUCCGGAUUUAUUGGGUUUAAAGGGUGCGCAGGCGGGACCUUAAGUCAGUGGUGAAAUCUCGUAGCUCAACUACGAAACUGCCAUUGAUACUGAGGUUCUUGAAUGUAGUUGACGUUAGUGGAAUGUGUCAUGUAGCGGUGAAAUGCUUAGAUAUGACACAGAACACCAAUUGCGAAGGCAGCUCGCUACACGAAUAUUGACUCUGAGGCACGAAAGCGUGGGGAUCAAACAGG